UACGGAGGAUGCGAGCGUUAUCCGGAUUCAUUGGGUUUAAAGGGUGCGCAGGCGGGCGAAUAAGUCAGGGGUGAAAUUCCACGGCUCAACUGUGGGGCUGCCUUUGAUACUGUUUGUCUUGAGUUUAGUUGAGGUGGGCGGAAUGUAGCAUGUAGCGGUGAAAUGCAUAGAUAUGCUACAGAACACCGAUAGCGAAGGCAGCUCACCAAGUUAUAACUGACGCUCAUGCACGAAAGCGUGGGGAUCAAACAGGAUUAGAUACCCCCGUAGUCC
rnacentral:rRNA from 1 species